AUUGAACGCUGGCGGCAUGCCUUACACAUGCAAGUCGAACGGCAGCACGGGUGCUUGCACCUGGUGGCGAGUGGCGAACGGGUGAGUAAUACAUCGGAACGUACCUUAUCGUGGGGGAUAACGCAGCGAAAGCUGUGCUAAUACCGCAUACGCCCUGAGGGGGAAAGCGGGGGAUCGAAAGACCUCGCGCGAUUAGAGCGGCCGAUGCCUGAUUAGCUUGUUGGUGGGGUAAAAGCCCACCGAGGCGACGAUCAGUAGCUGGUCUGAGAGGACGAUCAGCCACACUGGGACUGAGACACGGCUCAGACUCCUACGGGAGGCAGCAGUGGGGAAUUUUGGACAAUGGGGGCAACCCUGAUCCAGCAAUGCCGCGUGAGUGAAGAAGGCCUUCGGGUUGUAAAGCUCUUUUGUCAGGGAAGAAACACCGGCUCUAACACAGUCCGGGAAUGACGGUACCUGAAGAAUAAGCACCGGCUAACUACGUGCCAGCAGCCGCAGUAA
rnacentral:rRNA from 1 species